AUUGAACGCUGGCGGCAGGCCUAACACAUGCAAGUCGAACGAGUGGCGGACGGGUGAGUAAUGUUUGGGAAACUGCCUGAUGGAGGGGGAUAACUACUGGAAACGGUAGCUAAUACCGCAUACCAUGAGAUGUGCCCAUAUGGGAUUAGCUAGUUGGUGGGGUAACGGCUCACCAAGGCGACGAUCCCUAGCUGGUCUGAGAGGGUGACCAUCCAAACUGGAACUGAGACACUGUCCAGACUCGUACGGGAGGAAGCAGUGGGGAAUAUUGCACAAGGGGCGCAAUCCUGAGACAGCCAUGCCGCGUGUAUGAAGAAGGCCUUCGGGUUGUAAAGUACUUUCAGCGUGGAGGCGUUACCCACAGAAGAAGCACCGGCUAACUCCGUGCCAGCAGCCGCGGUAAUAC
rnacentral:rRNA from 1 species